rnacentral:rRNA from 1 species
CCUGGCGGCCGUAGCGCGGUGGUCCCACCUGACCCCAUGCCGAACUCAGAAGUGAAACGCAGUAGCGCCGAUGGUAGUGUGGGGUCUCCCCAUGCGAGAGUAGGGAACUGCCAGGC